rnacentral:piRNA from 1 species
UGAACCAAAGGAGCUGAUGGCAGU